rnacentral:rRNA from 1 species
GGGAUAACACUUGGAAACAGGUGCUAAUACCGCAUAACCAUAGUUACCGCAUGGUAACUAUGUAAAAGGUGGCUAUGCUACCGCCUUUGGAUGGGCCCGCGACGCAUUAGCUAGUUGGUGGGGUAAAGGCUUACCAAGGCAAUGAUGCGUAGCCGAACUGAGAGGUUGAUCGGCCACAUUGGGACUGAGACACGGCCCAAACUCCUACGGGAGGCAGCAGUAGGGAAUCUUCCACAAUGGGCGAAAGCCUGAUGGAGCAACGCCGCGUGGGUGAAGAAGGUCUUCGGAUCGUAAAACCCUGUUGUUAGAGAAGAAAGUGCGUGAGAGUAACUGUUCACGUUUCGACGGUAUCUAACCAGAAAGCCACGGCUAACUACGUGCCAGCAGCCGCGGUAAUACGUAGGUGGCAAGCGUUAUCCGGAUUUAUUGGGCGUAAAGAGAACGCAGGCGGUCUUUUAAGUCUGAUGUGAAAGCCUUCGGCUUAACCGGAGUAGUGCAUUGGAAACUGGGAGACUUGAGUGCAGAAGAGGAGAGUGGAACUCCAUGUGUAGCGGUGAAAUGCGUAGAUAUAUGGAAGAACACCAGUGGCGAAAGCGGCUCUCUGGUCUGUAACUGACGCUGAGGUUCGAAAGCGUGGGUAGCAAACAGGAUUAGAUACCCUGGUAGUCCACGCCGUAAAC